UACGGAGGGUGCGAGCGUUGUCCGGAAUCAUUGGGCGUAAAGGGCGCGUAGGUGGCCCGGUCAGUUCGUGGUGAAAGCGCGGGGCUCAACCCUGCGUCGGCCAUGAAUACUGCCGCGGCUGGAGCACUGUAGAGGCAGGCGGAAUUCCGGGUGUAGCGGUGGAAUGCGUAGAGAUCCGGAAGAACACCGGUGGCGAAGGCGGCCUGCUGGGCAGUGCUGGACACUGAGGCGCGACAGCGUGGGGAGCAAACAGGG
rnacentral:rRNA from 1 species